rfam:Triticum aestivum genome assembly, contig: Triticum_aestivum_CS42_TGACv1_scaffold_147551_2BS
GUGAGUCCUGUGAUGGGAAACCUCCCCGCACGGUUUGGAGAGCACUGAAGACGAAUGAGAGGUUCACCACCACAUCAUUGCAAGGGGAGCUUGCUCGAUUUGUAGACUGGUCUGACUCAUAAUUCACUUUUGACUCCGU